rnacentral:rRNA from 1 species
UCAGGACGAACGCUGGCGGCGUGCCUAAUACAUGCAAGUCGAGCGGACAGAAGGGAGCUUGCUCCCGGAUGUUAGCGGCGGACGGGUGAGUAACACGUGGGUAACCUGCCUGUAAGACUGGGAUAACUCCGGGAAACCGGAGCUAAUACCGGAUAGUUCCUUGAACCGCAUGGUUCAAGGAUGAAAGACGGUUUCGGCUGUCACUUACAGAUGGACCCGCGGCGCAUUAGCUAGUUGGUGGGGUAAUGGCUCACCAAGGCAACGAUGCGUAGCCGACCUGAGAGGGUGAUCGGCCACACUGGGACUGAGACACGGCCCAGACUCCUACGGGAGGCAGCAGUAGGGAAUCUUCCGCAAUGGACGAAAGUCUGACGGAGCAACGCCGCGUGAGUGAUGAAGGUUUUCGGAUCGUAAAGCUCUGUUGUUAGGGAAGAACAAGUGCGAGAGUAACUGCUCGCACCUUGACGGUACCUAACCAGAAAGCCACGGCUAACUACGUGCCAGCAGCCGCGG